rnacentral:rRNA from 1 species
CAAUAGCGUAUAUUAAAGUUGUUGCGGUUAAAAAGCUCGUAGUUGGAUUUCUGCUGAGAACGACCGGUCCGCCCUUUGGGUGUGUAUCUGGCUCUUUCUUGGCAUCUUCUUGGUGAACGUUGCUGCACUUGACUGUGUGGAGCGCUACCCAGGACUUUUACUUUGAGGAAAUUAGAGUGUUUCAAGCAGGCAUACGCCUUGAAUACAUUAGCAUGGAAUAAUAAGAUAGGACCUCGGUUCUAUUUUGUUGGUUUCUAGAGCUGAGGUAAUGAUUAAUAGGGAUAGUUGGGGGCAUUCGUAUUUAACUGUCAGAGGUGAAAUUCUUGGAUUUGUUAAAGUCGGACUACUGCGAAAGCAUUUGCCAAGGAUGUUUUCAUUGA